rnacentral:tRNA from 1 species
GUCCCCUUCGUCUAGAGGUUCAGACACCGCCCUUUCACGGCGGUAACAGGGUUCGAAUCCCCUAGGGGACGCCA